UACGUAGGUGGCAAGCGUUGUCCGGAAUUAUUGGGCGUAAAGCGCGCGCAGGCGGUCCUUUAAGUCUGAUGUGAAAGCCCACGGCUCAACCGUGGAGGGUCAUUGGAAACUGGGGGACUUGAGUGCAGAAGAGGAGAGUGGAGUUCCACGUGUAGCGGUGAAAUGCGUAGAGAUGUGGAGGAACACCAGUGGCGAAGGCGACUCUCUGGUCUGUAACUGACGCUGAGGCGCGAAAGCGUGGGGAGCAAACAGG
rnacentral:rRNA from 1 species